UGCUGCCAUCACAGACCUGCCGCUGACUUCCAUCCCUCUGGAUCCAGCAGGGUGUCCGCUGUGCUCCUGAUCCAGCGAGGUGCCCAUUGCCGCUCCCAAUCGGGCUAAAGGCUUGCCAUUGUUCCUGCACGACUAAGUGCCCAGUACCGCCUGGCCACGAGAUCAUCUUCAAGGGGGAGAAACCUGGCCUCCUGAAGGAAGUAUAAAUUAUAACACCAUCUUACACCUAGACCUCUUUCGUAGAAAAGAAGGCAAAUGGAGUGAAGUGCCACAUGUACAAACUUUCUUUUCAUUAAGAGACAACUCGCAAUUA